rnacentral:lncRNA from 1 species
CUCCAACCACUAAGAACUUUAAUAGAAAAAAUAUCCAGCCAAUUGCAAAUAAAACAAGGAAAACAACAUGCAGCUCAGAUAUUCAGGUCGAAAGCAAAGUAAGGUUAAAACAGUGCCUUGAUACACUACAGGACCUAAAGACACCUAAGCAACAAAAAUAUGAAAUAUCUUUUAACAGAUCCACUCAACCUCACAAAGUUAGACUCACAUUAACUUUGAGGUGAGGCUUUUGCAACCCCACCACUAGGCUGAACAGACUGGGACGCUGGAGUUGGGCCAUCAGAAGCAUACGCUGGAGGCUGGGCGUAACCACCAGCAUAGGUACUGUUGUAAGGUGGUGGCUGCUGCUGGCCAUAACUAGGUGGAGCCCCAUAAGGCGGGGCACCAUAACCAGGCUGAGCUGUUGGAGCACCAUAGCCAGAAGCAGGAGGUCGCAGAGUGCCAGAAUCAGGCAGAGCAUAGCCUGAUUGAGCAGCUUGCUGUGGAUACCCAGGCUGUGCUGGGGGAGGCUGGGCAUAACCUCCUUGCGCACUAGGAGACUGCUGUGGCUGACCAUAAGCUUACUCACAUUAACUUUGAGGUGAUGCUUUUGCAACCCCACCACUGGGCUGAACAGACUGGGACGCUGGAGUUGUGCCAUCAGAAGCAUACGCUGGAGGCUGGGUGUAACCACCAGCAUAGGCACUGUUGUAAGGUGGUGGCUGCUGCUGGCCAUAACUAGGUGGAGCUCCAUAAGGUGGGACACCAUAACCAGGCUGAGAUGUUGGAGCACCAUAGCCAGCAGGAGGUCGCUGAGAGCCAGAAUCAGGCUGAGCAUAGCCUGAUUGAGCAGCUGGCUGUGGAUACCCAGGCUGUGCUGGGGGAGGCUGGGCAUAACCUCCUUGCGCGCUAGGG